UACGGAGGGGGCUAGCGUUGUUCGGAAUUACUGGGCGUAAAGCGCACGUAGGCGGACAUUUAAGUCAGGGGUGAAAUCCCGGGGCUCAACCCCGGAACUGCCUUUGAAACUAGAUUGCUAGAAUCCUGGAGAGGUUAGUGGAAUUCCGAGUGUAGAGGUGAAAUUCGUAGAUAUUCGGAAGAACACCAGUGGCGAAGGCGACUAACUGGACAGGUAUUGACGCUGAGGUGCGAAAGCGUGGGGAGCAAACAGG
rnacentral:rRNA from 1 species